GAUGAAGAACGUAGCGAAAUGCGAUAAGUAGUGUGAAUUGCAGAAUUCAGUGAAUCAUCGAAUCUUUGAACGCACAUUGCGGCCAUAGGUAUUCCUUUGGCCAUGCCUGUCGAGCGUCAUUUACACCCUCAAGCCUAGCUUGGUGUUGGGCGCCUGUCCCGCCGUUUUCGCGCGCGGACUCGCCUCAAAGUCAUUGGCGGCGGUCGUGCCGGCCCCCUCGCGCAGCACAUUUGCGCUUCUCGGAGGCCCGGCGGAUCCGCGCUCCAGCAAGACCUUUCACGACUUGACCUCGGAUCAGGUAGGGAUACCCGCUGAACUUAAGCAUAUCAAUAAGCGGAGGA
rnacentral:misc_RNA from 1 species